rnacentral:lncRNA from 1 species
CCGUCAGGCCUACCUUGGCAGGCCCCGCCCCUGCUGAGCCUCUCGCCCCGCCUCCAUCAGGCGGAGUUCUACUGGCGCUGACCGCUCUGCCCUUCCCUUCGUCCGCAGCCUUGAAGCUGACGCCUGGGGUUCAGCUCCGGGAGCACCCUAGACAGGCGCCGCCCACUGCUGCAGCAGCGCCCUCUAGCGUCCGGGAGGUGUUAGCACAGUCGCUGACCUGUGGGUCCCAGAGAGCGGAGGACUAUACCCAGGUUCUCAUGAAUGCUGGAUGAGCACUCUACCAUCGAGCCACACUUCCAGCCUGACUUUACUGUUUUUUGUUAAGACGGUGUCUGACUCUGUAACUCAGAUUGGCCUGGUAACCACUAUGUAGACCAGGUUGGAAUUGAACACUCAGUUCUUCUAUCUCAGCUCCUUGAGUACUGGUGCUAUGAGUGUGCCCCAUGAUGAACUUACAUGAUCUGAAUGAACACUGAAGUUUAAGAUGCAGUGUUCUGCAUCUUAAACAACUCCUUGGCCAAUUCUUAUGUAUUAUCACCUGAAAAAUGGUUUCCAGAGUUCCGUGCUGCUGGAACCAAAACAAAACAAAACAACUCCUUGGCCAAUUCUUAUGUAUUAUCACCUGAAAAAUGGUUUCAAAUUACAUUGUUGAAUAAAAAGAAAAGCAAUUUCUAAAAUGUUUACAAG